GACUUUAUAAACUUAUACUCUAAUUAAUGUUAAUUUAGAGUUAUUUUGAUAUUGAUUUUUAAUUUUAGGGUGAAAUCAGAAAUUAUUUUUAUUUAAACUCUAAAUUUUAAGAUUUAGUAAACAAACCAGAUUAGUACCUGGUUAGAUAAAAUUUAAAAGAGCAGGAGUAAAGUUAUAUUUAAACUGUAAGAAUAUUGGCAGGUUUUUAAAUUAUCUUUGGAGGCUGAGUAGUGAUUGAGAGCCCUCAUUUUCAACUUUUUCUUUAGGCGCAUGUAUGAUCGUUUAUUUUAUUCUUAAGGAUUGUAAUUUUAGUCUUUGCUAUAAAAAUAGAUAGAUAUCUGGCUUAUGAGAAAGAUUUAAUUUGGCCUACAAUAAUUUAAUUUUUGGAUUCUAGUUUUAGAGGCUAGAUGAAAUUGUAAAAGACAGUAAGUUGCUUUUAAUGGGUGGCUGAAGUUUAUUUAAAAAC
rnacentral:rRNA from 1 species